UAAAGUUUCAACAUGGAAUUGUAGGACACAAGUUGCUUCAUCUCUAAUCUCUUCGUUAUUAAUUUGACUUAUAGAGAGACUAAUUGGGUAUGGACUGCUUGCUACCCACAUACUAGGGGCAGGGAAGAAAAUUCAUGUUUGUAAGACAGGAAAUAACAAAACUGAGGAACCAGUGCUUGCAAAGGACCAAAGGUAACUGCACCUCCUAAGCAACUGGUUUCGACCACCAAUUCAUUGUCGAAGG
rnacentral:lncRNA from 1 species